GGAAAUAUAGUUCAACGGUAGAACAAUUGGUUGUUAGCCUUUUGAUGAAUGUUCGAAUCAUUCUAUUUCCG
rnacentral:tRNA from 1 species